rnacentral:rRNA from 1 species
UACGUAGGGUGCGAGCGUUGUCCGGAAUUAUUGGGCGUAAAGGGCUCGUAGGCGGUUUGUCGCGUCGGGAGUGAAAACCUUGGGCUUAACUCAGGGCUUGCUUUCGAUACGGGCAGACUAGAGGUAUGCAGGGGAGAACGGAAUUCCUGGUGUAGCGGUGAAAUGCGCAGAUAUCAGGAGGAACACCGGUGGCGAAGGCGGGUCUCUGGGCCGAUACUGACGCUGGAGGAGCGAAAGCGUGGGGAGCGAACAGG